UCCAUGUUUCUGUUGACCUGAGGCUUUAAGACAUUGUUUAAUUUUUUUUUCGCACAUUAUAUAAUCAUUUACAAUCGCCGCGCCUAAAGCUUUCCAUUUGCCAUAUUGAUGGAGUCGCCGCAUAUAAAGCCAAACCAUUAUAUAACAAUUGUUAAAGAAACUGUUAUCAAUAACGUUUCUUUUUAUGCAAAUGUCCUAAUGUUUUUGUUAAGAUAAUAUCGACAGAUGUUGUUUCUUAUUUCCUAAGGCCAGAACAUAGUGCAGCUAGUAAAAAAAAUACGUUUUUUCUUUCUUUUCAGCUAGCUUUGCUAUAUAUUGAUUAAUUUGCUCGCGUGAUCGUCUGGCGUUUGAUAUACACAAAAUACGAGUUAAAAAUUACUCUCUCCGUUGGUUUUUAAAUCAGCUUUUGGGCGUUUAUGCUUUUAUCGCUUAAAGUGCAACGUUUAUACACAAAUGUUUUGAGUUUUUCCCCAAAGAAUGGUUUAAAAAAUGCGCCCUCAUGUUUUUGUUUGAUGUCAAGUAAUAUUGCGUUUGUGGUCAUAUCUCUCAGCUAUGACAAAAGACCCAUUAUCCGUCUACUGUUAUUAAACUGUUUGCUUGAUAACUCUCUAAUUGGCCGUCUAGGAAAGGGUUUGACAAGUGAUAGAGAGUAAUGCUCACUCACACCCCAAAGCAAUGUUAGUAGAACGGUAAUGCCAAGACACGCCCUGUCUAAGAUACACUAGCACACCCCGGGGCUCCCCUAGCUGUCGAAUUUUUACUGUCACUUAACCAAAUGGACCGUUUGUGAAAAACGUAUCGUUUCGACCUCGAGUUAAUUGUUAUCGAAGAUUGUGGUCCUAUUUCUUUUAGAACCUCAAGUGAUAUUGCUCUCUAUAAUUUUUUUUCAGUAUCUAUUCUCCUUUAAUUUUGUCUAUGCGAACCUUUUCCCAGACUAGAGUUUCCGGCAGUAAUUAAUUCUCCCCGUUUUUGAAAGGUUAAAGGAGGCUGAAGUCUAAAUGCUUCAUUGACAGAUUAAAAACGAUGAAAAUACUCCUGUCAAGUAGCAGGUGCCUUGUAUCUCGCGCAUCAUUCCGGUGUAUGUCACCAAGUCUCGCGUGAAGUAAUCGCCUCUGUUGAACGGUUGUAAAUCGAUCAUCUGCACGCGUGUUACGAGUCCCUGCUGAUGAAUGCGUCUAAAUUAUCAGACACGUGUGUUAUUAGUCUCGAAGGGUGUAAAUUAUUCAGACACAGUGAAGCUUACCCUUGAUAAGCAAAAAAAUAGAUGGAUUGCGCGCAUUACCUGUAAUAAGCAUGUAAGGCACUCAGUCUUGAAUCUUAGGAUUGCGCGCAUUACCUGUAAUAAGCAUGUAAGGCACUCAGUCUUGAAUCUUAGGAUUGCGCGCAUUACCUGUAAUAAGCAUGUAAGACACUCAGUCUUGAAUCUUAGGAUUGCGCGCAUUACCUGUAAUAAGCAUGUAAGGCACUCAGUCUUGAAUCUUAGGAUUGUGAGCAUUAUCUUUGGUAAGCAUUAAGGCACUCAGUCUUGAAUCUUAGGAUUGUGAGCAUUAUCUUUGGUAAGCAUUAAGGCACUCAGUCUUGAAUCUUAGGAUUGUGCGCAUUAUCUUUGGUAAGCAUUAAGGCACUCAGUCUUGAAUCUUAGGAUUGCGCGCAUCACCAAUGCAUGGUAAUUUGUCAUAAAUCUUCGGUUUGCUUCCCAAAGUAGAUAAACGUCACCUUAUUAUUGCUAUUAACAGUUUUCAAUUAUGGAAGAACAAAAGACAAAUGAUACAAAAUGUGUGCGUUGUGGCCUAGAGACGCCUGUUUGAUAAGAAGAAAUCUCUGAUUCCCGUGGUACCAUCGGCUACCCCCAGCAUAGCCGAACCCAAUUCCAAUUAGUGCCAUGUUAAAGAUACUUCUAUAUGAAGAUUAUAUUGCUACGAAUAUUAUUGUUUCCUGGCAACUACUGAUAUUGUUUAUCUAAAUUUUAUAAAAUAGGGCCACUCACUAUCUUCAGAGGAAGGAGUGGUUGCUCUCUAAUGUUAUUGGGGCCUUUCAUUGGAAGCCCCUCAAAACCAACAAUGAAAUAAAAAAGUAAAUAGAUAGAACGGGUACAAUUAAGCGUUCUUGCUGGUAGAUAGCCGAGAUAUUCGGUUUUUGUUGUAGUUUAUCGCUACACGAUCUUUCGUAUAUUGUUAACCCACUGGCGUCGUUUGGUAUUUUUUUUUUUAAUCCGCAACGAAAACAUUUUCGAUUGACUGCUAAGUUAUAUUUGAACGAUGUGAUGUAUAUUUGUCAGCAAUUAUAACCUAAACGUUUGAAAUAGCUACCUAAUUACUACGAUGUACAUUCCUACCCACUCACUCUGAUGGUGCCUGGUGUGAAACGUGUAUGUAUAGAAUAGCAGAGUGUUUUGAUUGACUGUAAAUAAUUAUGGGUUCCUUUUUCUGGCGGUAAAACACUGAUAUAAGUUACUUAGUUGUUUUAAACACAGGAAAUCCAUGAAAAUGUGGAAUCGACCAAAUCGCUUAGCUAAUAUAGCAUGGCAAGGUUUACCACCAGAGUCCUAACGUAGACACCAUUAGAGUCGGACUAUUUGUUUAAACAAGUGAAAACCCGGAAAAGCCCAACCCUUGAUGCAUGGCUAACCGCCAUGUUUUUUAUUUGAUCAGUGGCGACGAUUGCGGGCUCACUUGGCGCCAUGUUGUUUGAUUGGCAUCUACUGUAGUCACGUGACUUGUGGCAAAGAGGUCGUGUGUAAAUAGAGAGGAACAACAACCUUACAGAAUAUUCAACAGUUUUUUGUCCGUUUUUAUGAUCCAUACGUUUCAAAUAAGAUUUGUCAUUUUUAGGCAUUAAUUUUCAACGGAAGUGCUAAUUGUAGUUCGUCUGUUUUAAUGGAUUCCAUCAGUUUUCCUUUAAUUAAUUUACAGAUCUCAAGUGUGAUCCUUUUUCAUUUGUUUUAAGUUUGAUUAUGGGAGUAUGAAAGUCAACACGGUAAUUUAAUUAACACUUUUUACCCUUACCAUCGUUUUGUCUAAACCCGUUUAACAGUGAAUUUUAAAUAUUAGGCUUCAAGUUUUUUUCGUUGUACAAAGAGUUCUGCCGGAGGAUGACGAUGAUGAUGAGGUAUUAGUUUGAUAUGUCGGAAGUUUGUUUAUUUUCUUUUUUUCUGAAUAUCUUCAAAGUCAUCUAGUUCUGUCACAGAACUUUUUGCUUCCAGUUAUAAUUGCUCCCUUAGCAUUGGGUCUCGGAUGUAAAAACAUUGCCUUUUACGCCAUUAUUGUUAGUUUAGCAGAACAGUUUUCAAAAAAUAUGACAAUUAGGAAAAAACUCCAUCUCCAUACAACGGAAAGCGUGAGUCUCUCACUGAAAACAAAUACACAAUUUCCACCUCGUAUUAGAUUAGAUUACACAAAUUAAAAAAAAAAUUGCGAAAAUGAUGAAAUAAAGAAACAUGGAUUUCUGCUUAUAAAGUCUUUAUGUUCCUUGCAAUUAUUGUGGCCAAAAGCUAAAAAGGUCGCCAAAAGGGAACCGCAAAAACCGUACAGUACAUUGUAAAAAUUUUGAUAAAGAAAAAAUAUUUCACACACAAAUUUCUUGUCUCAAAUUGGAUUUUUAGAUAACUAAGACCCAUGCUAAUUUCACAGAGAUAUUAUUUGUUGGACGCUAAAUUUAUCGGCAAACAUAUUUGAAUCAGCCUUGCAUACUAACUAUUCCCGCCUUGGUAUCUUCCUACAAAAUCAAAUCUUUAAAAGUCGUUGUGGCGUUGUUUAGUGUUAGCGACGCGUUGGUAAAUAAUUGAUAAUAGCCACGGUCUAUAAUCAAUGGAAGAGUUUCAAAUUUAUACCACGAUUAGUGAAGAAACCUCUUAACCAUUUUCUACUCACAAAGACCACACAACGACCCGUUGGUAAGAUCCGGCCCGCAACAAAAGUGAUCACGCAUUACAAUAUAACACGGGCUGGCCUCCAGCUAUAGCUCCAGCUAUACCGUACACUCACAACAGUCAUAUUGUCAUGCCUGAUAGUAAAACAGGGCCAAUUACCAUCAUUUCAAUCCACUUUAUUGAGUAAAUUAUUUCCGUGCUCGUACGUUAUCUUUGCGUUAUCGAAGACCAUAUCGUAGUCACCAGAAGAUGAUGUUAUAUUGGCCCAUUGAUUGCCAAUACAUCAUUCUUAUUCCCAUGGAAAUAUUUCUGUUUUCGUGCUUUUUCCAUCAACUUUUUUUAUCUGUCCCAGUAAAACUCAUUUUCAUAUAACAGUAAAUUAUAAUUCGCGAAAGGAAAUAAGUUUUUAGAAAAAAAGGAUUGUUUUCCUUUCUUUAAACAUGCAACAAAGCUUAUUGUAUUGAAAAAAAUGUCAUGUAAACAUAAAUUUGUUUUUUUUUUUAAACAGCGUCAAUUGUUUCCAAUCUGUAGGUAAAUAUUUGAAGUUUAAGGGAUUUUAUUUCCUUUGUUACCCACCAUUUAUUUGCUGCGACCCACAAGUUUUUCUCUCUGAAUUUCGAGUCAUUUCAAUUAUUAUUUCCAAGUGUUAUAAACAAGCUUUAUUCUAAGUAUCACUAGAAAUAGAAAUUAUAAAUUUAUUGACCCAUUGAUUUUCAAUAAUUCAUUCUUAUUUCCAUGAAAAUAUUUCUGUUUUCUUGCUUUUUCAAUCAACUUCUUAUCUGUCCCAGUAAAACUCAUUUUCAUUAUUAAAACAGCGUAAAUAGUUUCCAAUCAAUAGGUAAAUAUUUGAGUGGAUUUUAUUUCCUUUUUUUACCCACCAUUUAUUUGUUGCGACCCACAAGUUUUUUCCUCUGAAUUUCAAGUCAUUUCAAUUAUUAUCCCUAAGUGGUAUAAAAAUGCUUUAUUCUAAGUAUCACUAGAAUUUUUUUCUCAAUAAUCAAUUUACAAAAAAGAGAAAUCGCCGUUGUCCGUUAUAAUGUAUCCCAUUGCUCGAUUUUUGAACGAUCUUUUUUAUUUUGUAUCAAAUGUGUUGAUAAAAAUUGAAAAACAACUUAGCACCACAGGGCCUCUAUUCCUUGUUAUUUGACAUUUUUACAUUAGAUUGAUUCAGUCCCUUUUUUGAGUGUUUAACUGACACAAUUGAAUCUGCUCUUGUGAUAAGGCUCACUAGAAAGUGGCUAAAAGUGUAUUUUUCUUAAUAAUCAUUAAUUUACAAAAGAGAGAAAUCGCCGUUGUCCGUUGUAAUUUGUCCAAUUCCACGAUUUUUUUUCAUGUUCUAUCAAAUGUGUUGAUGAAAUUUGGGAAAAUUGAGAAAAAACCCGCUGCAGAGAGGCUAUAGUCAAAAGUUUAUAAGUUUAUUUCUUAGGCCUGAAUUCAUCUAAUGUCAAAAUGUAAAAUAACAGGGAACAAAAGCCUUAUUCAGCUAACACUCGCCGCUGAGGAAAUAAAAAUAGAAUUUUCAACGUACACCGUUUUAUAACUGCGUUCUUUCCUGCGUUACAAAUAUGUUCUUAUAUUUAUAGAAGACGUUAAACAUCUUUUUUGCGUGUUUUUACUGACUGAUAUUGAAUCUGUCCCUGUGACAGGCCUCACAUCACCCUGGGUACCAGAGUCUCCAGAGUUCUCUCGUCCAGUGACGCUCAGCCAGAAUGCCGCGACGAGCGAAGCGAGCAUUUUGGCUGAGCGUCACUGGACGAGAGAAGUCUGGAGGCUCUGGUACCCAGGGUAACCUCACAUGCCUCGAAGAUGUCGAACAUGUGUGUGUGUCUUCAUCCGUACACAAAUGAACCUCUUCAGCUAAAUCAAAGGAGGAAAACUAAUUCAAAGGUCUCCGGAUAUAAAGUAGAGUACAUAGAAAUAAUGAUCAAUUGUAGAGAGUAAUUAGAUAAAAGUCUUAGGUAAUGAGAACUGUUAGAUUCAUUCACUUGACCAGGGCAUACUGUCGAGCGUAAUGCCGGCAUAAUGGCAUAAUUUUCAGCAUAAGUUUAGCAUAAUAGUAAAAAAUAAUAUUUUUCUUUUAUAAAAUGUAAAAUGCAAGUAAAUAAAAACACAUGCUGUGUUCAAAGUUUUAA